UUAAAGAUUUCAUCUAACCCAAAACCAGAGAGCGAGAAUAGCUCACAUCUUUGUCCCAAUUGCCAUACGACUACGAGGAUUCAAAAACCCUUGCUUCUCUCUCCGAGUUGUUUCUGUUUCGUUAUCGGAGAUUAUGUUGACCAAGUUCUAGACCAAGAGUGACAGAGUUAAAGAGCACGAAGGAUUCUCUCCAGUUUGCACAGUGGUGUGAUCCAGCUCUGGGAUUAUCGUAUAGGUGUUUUGAUCGAUAGUUUUAAAGAGCACGAAGGACCUGUUCGUGAUAGUUUUAACGAGCACGAAGGACCUGUUCGGAGGGGAUGAUUACAAGCUUAAAGUUUGGAACUACAAAACACGGAGGUGUCUUUUCACUCUUCUUGGCCAUCAUGAUCAUAUCCGCACGGUUCAGUUCCAUAAUGAUCAUAUCCCCACGGUUCUUCUUCUUCGUUUCCAAUGUCGAGAGGACCAGGUCGUUUAGUACAGGUCGUUUAGCACAGUUCGCUGAUGCUCAGUCCAAUCAAGCUGCUCUUGUCUCCUUUCACUCUUGCCUUUGACAUCGCUGGCUCUGCACCUCGUGGCUUUGGCAUCCCUAAAUUCAUCUCAAAACUUUCUUAUCUCUCUGUUUUUGUGAGUUGUUUUCUCUGUUCUUAGCUGUUGUAAAGAAACAAACCACCACCAUCUCUAUUCUCUCUCUUUUCAGCCAUAGAAACCAUCAUCACAAUCUGUAAACUCUCUCUCUUUUCUCCCUCUAAUUUGAAA